UUCCUCUAUUGUCAUUAUAAUGAAUCAAUAUGAUUAGUGUUAUCAUCGCCCUGUCGUUCUUAAUGCUCUGGACUCCAGUUUUAGCCGAAGACAGUGGAGUCACUCAAAUCCCCAGUGUCUCCUGGCAUCUGAAAGGAAAAUCUGUUGAAAUAAAAUGCAGUCAUAAUAAAGGUGGCACUUAUUAUCAGAUGUACUGGUACAGACAGCGGCAAGGAGAGAGUAUGGAGCUCAUCGUGUUCACAAAAACCAGUGGUGAUCCAGAGUUUGGCUCUGUUGAUCAAAAUAAAUUUUCCACCAUUAAAGAAAUUGCCCAAAAUGGAUCAUUAACUGUGAAGGAUCUAGACACAGAGGACAGCUGUAUAUUUCUGUGCAGUAAGAGAACACAGUGUUACAGAGCUACCACACUGCUGAACAAAACACCUGCACAGAUGUUACUGCUGUAA